UCCCUGGUGGCUCAGAUGGUAAAAGCCUCUGCCUGCAAUGCAGGAGAGCCAGGUUUGAUCCCUGGGCUGGGAA
rnacentral:tRNA from 1 species